rnacentral:rRNA from 1 species
AACGAACGCUGGCGGCGCGUCUUAAGCAUGCAAGUCGAACGGCAAGAGAGGAGCUUGCUUCUCUCCUAGAGUGGCGGAUUGGUGAGGAACACGUGGGUAAUCUACCCUUAAGAUGGGGAUAGCUGCUAGAAAUAGCAGGUAAUACCGAAUACACUCGGCAUAUCACAAGAGGUGUUGAGGGAAGGAAGCUACGGCUUCGCUUGAGGAUGAGCUUGCGUCCCAUUAGCUAGUUGGUGAGGUAAAGGCCCACCAAGGCGACGAUGGGUAUCCGGCCUGAGAGGGUGAACGGACACAUUGGGACUGAGAUACGGCCCAAACUCCUACGGGAGGCAGCAGCUAAGAAUAUUCCGCAAUGGACGGAAGUCUGACGGAGCGACGCCGCGUGGAUGAAGAAGGCUGAAAAGUUGUAAAAUCCUUUUGUUGAUGAAGAAUAGGGGUGAGAGGGAAUGCUCAUCUGAUGACGGUAAUCGACGAAUAAGCCCCGGCUAAUUACGUGCCAGCAGCCGCGGUAACACGUAAGGGGCGAGCGUUGUUCGGAAUUAUUGGGCGUAAAGGGCAUGUAGGCGGUUAUGUAAGCCUGAUGUGAAAUCCUGGGGCUUAACCCUAGAAUAGCAUUGGGUACUGUAUAGCUUGAAUUACGGAAGGGAAACUGGAAUUCCAAGUGUAGGGGUGGAAUCUGUAGAUAUUUGGAAGAACACCGGUGGCGAAGGCGGGUUUCUGGCCGAUAAUUGACGCUGAGAUGCGAAAGUGUGGGGAUCGAACAGG